GAGAGAGGAGGCAAGCGUUAUCCGGAAUUAUUGGGCGUAAAGCGUUCGUAGGUGGUUUGACAAGUCUGGGGUUAAAGCCCGGAGCCCAACUCCGGAUCGGCCCUGGAAACUGUCAGACUUUAGUAAGGUAGGGGUUGCGGGAAUUCCCGGUGUAGCGGUGAAAUGCGUAGAUAUCGGGAAGAACACCAUCGGCGAAAGCGCGCAACUGGGCCAUUACUGACACUGAGGGACGAAAGCUAGGGGAGCGAAUGGG
rnacentral:rRNA from 1 species